rnacentral:rRNA from 1 species
AACGAACGCUGGCGGCAGGCCUAACACAUGCAAGUCGAACGGACCCUUCGGGGUUAGUGGCGCACGGGUGCGUAACGCGUGGGAAUAUACCCUUAGGUAAGGAAUAAUGUCUGGAAACGGACACUAAUACCUUAUAAUGGCUCCGGCCCAAAGAUUUAUCGCCUAAGGAUUAGCCCGCGUCUGAUUAGGUAGUUGGUGGGGUAAAAGCCUACCAAGCCGACGAUCAGUAGCUGGUCUGAGAGGAUGAUCAGCCACACUGGGACUGAGACACGGCCCAGACUCCUACGGGAGGCAGCAGUGAGGAAUAUUGGACAAUGGGGGCAACCCUGAUCCAGCCAUGCCGCGUGAGUGAAGAAGGCCUUAGGGUUGUAAAGCUCUUUCAAUAGUGAAGAUAAUGACGGUAGCUAUAGAAGAAGCCCCGGCUAAAUUCGUGCCAGCCGCCGCCGUAAAAC